UAAAGGGCUGCAGUAUAUUGACUGUACAAAGGUAGCAUAAUCAUUAGUCAUUUAAUUGAUGACUUGUAUGAAGGAUUGGAUGAAAUAUAAACUGUCUCUUAAUUAUUAAAUAGAAUUUAAUUUUUUAAUUAAAAAGUUAAAAUAUAUUAAAAAGACGAGAAGACCCUAUAGAUUUUUAUAAAAAAUUUAGUUAAUAUUAUUUAUGAAAAAUUAAAAUUAAAAUUAAAUUUAUUUAUUGUAUUGGGGUGAUAGAAAAAUAUAAAAAACUUUUUAUAUAUUAAAACAUUUAUAAGUGGUUAAAUGAUCCAAUAUUAUUGAUUAUAAGAAAAAAUUACCUUAGGGAUAACAGCGUAAUUUUUUUUUUUAGUUCGUAUAAGAAAAAGAGUUUGCGACCUCGAUGUUGGAUUAAGAUAAAAUUUAAAUGCAGAAG
rnacentral:rRNA from 1 species